AUAAAUAUCAUGACCUAACUCGGAUUCCCCUUCAGGACAUCACCAUGGAUCGUGCAAAAUCGAGUUUCUGAUGCU
rfam:Triticum aestivum genome assembly, contig: Triticum_aestivum_CS42_TGACv1_scaffold_080228_1DS